rnacentral:misc_RNA from 1 species
CCUUUGGCUGCCGUGAGCGCUUCGGCGUGAGCGACAGUCAUUUCUAGCGACGCCUCCGUGUCCGGGAAACCGGCGCGGGGCUGACCUAAUCCUUCUCUACGAGUACCUAACAUUCUCCUUCGGCGGGGCAACCCGCCGCUGGAAUUCAAGAACCAACUUGCAUUUAGCAUUACCUGUUCUGAUAACAAUUAAUUAUUA